UGUCACUGCGGCCGGCGCCGGCGGCCCUCGGGAGAACGCCCCUCGGCAGGUCCCGGCCCCAAACAACAGCGCCGGAGCCGCCGAUCCGCCCACUUCCGCCCGCCGCCGGCCCCGGCCCUUUUAUAACCUCGCCGCCGCCGAGCGCGUGCGUCCUUCCGGCGCGGCGCUCCCAGGACGCUUUGCGGCGCGCGAGCUGCGGCGACGCGGAGACGCCGGCGGCGGCGGCGGGCGCUCCCUGGGGGCGGGGCGCGGGGGGCGGAGCGCGGGGAGACGGGCCGCCCGCGGGUCCAGGCGCCGCGACCGGGGCACGGCCGAGCGUCCGGCCGGCUUUGUGACGCCGCGGGCUCCGCCGCCCUCCCCGCGGGCCGCCUCGGCGCCGGGUUCCCGCAGCGGCCGGGCCGGGCCCAGCCCUCCUCGGCCGUGCGCUCUGCCCGAGACGCGGGUUUUGAGCGGAGCCAACCCCAAAGCCCGCCUCCAUCUCUUUUUCUGUUUUAACGUCAAUCCCUCCUCGUUUAAAGUAUUGCACAGGUCUCCUUCCCCCAUGCGUCUCCGGGCGGAGGGUGAUGACACCGCCUCCCUCUUCUGGUCCCGCCGGCUGCGCUCCGGGCGCUGCUUCCGAGGGAGACCGGCCACGCGCUCCGAGGCCUCCCGGGCGGCGCGUUCGGAGCGUGGAGUCCGCGGGAAGGAACAGUCAUGGCUGAGAUGAUGCGGCUCAACGCUCGGCCCCGCUCCGGGCGGCCCUGCGGGCCCGUCUGCAACCGUCCUCGGCGCGCGGGGUCGCGUUCAUGGUCCCCGCAGUCCGCCCGCGACCCCCGCUGCCCCCCGGGGGUGGAUCCCCGGUGCCACCCCGCCCCCCCGUGGAUCCCCGCUGCCCCCCUGGGUGGAUCCCCGCUGCCCCCCGGGGGUGGACCUGGUCGAACCCCGCCGCGCCGAGGACAGGACGUCCUGCACGUUUCCUGAAACAGUGACGCCCGCGGCGCGGCAGCUGGGCGGCGGCGUGGGAAAGGGCCUGUGUACUGUCCCCGCUUAGCGCUGACUGCCGCUCGGUGACUGUAUGUUUCCGAUUUCAGGUGUAGGUAUACUUUAAGGUUAAUAAUAAGCUACAGUAGGUGCUAUGUAAUAAUCUUAAAUUACGGAAUGAAACAUUUCCUUUUACUAAAUGUGGGUUUUGAAAAGUGCUUGAAUUAGAAUAAGCAAGAAAAAAAUGGUCACUUAGGUAACAAUUUCUAAAAGCCAUGUGAUGUAUACAGGGUGGGGCAAAAGUAGUUUCCAGUUGCUUAUAUGGCAAAUAAUACAGUCAUUAAGAAUACAUGUAUACAAGAAUAAACUUUCGAGUAGACCUUUGCCCACCCUGUAUACAUGCUGGAAUAAUAAAAAUUCAACUACAGUAUGAUGUGACAAUCAUAUUGCCCACUUUGCUGCUGUGCCAAAAGAAACGGCAUAGGAACAGGCAAAACAAACAUUUUUAAUUUGGGAUUUUGCUUCAGUUUUUGCUCUUCUUUUUCAGGGAAAAUUGCUGAGACUUUGGAGGGGUGAAAGGAUGAGGAAACCCUUUAACUUCAGAUGCAAUUUAAGAUGGAAAAUAUUAUGGUCUUCCAUGAAUUCUUAGGCAGGGGGGAGAUCAGAGUUACUUGGGUUUGGUAACAAUUGCCUUGGAACUAUGAGCAGCAGAGGACCUAGAAGUAUUCGUGGAGAGAGCUGGGAAGCCAGGAUGACAUGGAGGAGAGCACGUCAGCUCUCCCUGUAGCAGGCCGUCUUCCUCUGGGCAGUGACCUCAGUAACCUCAGAUGCGGAUGCGCUUCCCUGGGAGCGGUCGCAUUCCUGCCUAUAGAACCCGCGCACGGACAGGUCAGUUCCCGGGUCAGCGGGACUCGCAUCCCUUCGCGCUGGCUGGCUGGGAACCCAGGGAGGUGCUGAGGGCCCCGGGCUUUAGUUCCUUAUCAGCUCCAUCAACCUGUUAUACUCCACUCGGCCGCCUCUGAGGACUCAUGACUGCCUCUGUGGCAGCGAGUGUGAUGGGCCAAACAGCAGGUGCAGGACACCAGGCCAGAGGCGCCCCCUGAGGCACAGGCUGGCCUCAUCGCUCCUGGCCUUCCUCACGGCUGCGUUCAGCUGGGCAGAGGCAGGGGAAGAGCGAAGCCUUCCUAGGGGCCUGCACUCAAGUCUGCUGCCCGGUCCUGAGGCCCCCCCACCACCACCCCAGGAGUCAGUGAAGCCUCAAGCCUGCUCCUGGGGCCGGGCCCCAGAGCCCUUUGUCCCAGGCCCGGGGAGUCCCCUUCUGCCUGCCCUCCCGCCCAGACAGGGCGCCUUUUCUCUCCUGCUCCUCGGGAACCGGGGGGCAGCCUCACUCUGGGGCUCAGGGCACGGGUAAGAGGCUCCGGCCGGAAUCGCAGGGCAAUUCUCAGGUCAGGCCCUCAAUACCCUUUCCGACGCCCUUGAGACAGUCCCCUCGGGGCUGCUGUGACUGCCCGCAGGAGAAGGCUUUGAUGGAAAGGGACCUACUGGUCGCAGCAUCUAGUGACAAGGAAUAGAGCCAGAAAGGGCAGAGCUCUCUCUUCCGCAGGAAUUUGGAGAGAUGGGGCCAGAGCGCCCUGGGCUUCCUUUCUCCGAGGCUGCAGGGUCCUAGGCGGAAGUUCGCUGGUGAAGGUGGGGUCUCCUCGGGACUGGGAGGGUCCUAAAGGGGUUGGCUUUAUGUGGUCUUGUUACUCACCCCAACCUGCAUAAUAAUAACAAAAACGACAUUUUAAAACAUGCCUUUUGUGUGAUCCCAUUUUAUCUUUAAAAGAAUCUAUAAAUACGUAUGUGUUUGCAUGUGUUUUAAAGAAUUAACGGAAAGAGAUGCAGAAAUUGUUCGCAGCAAUUACAUUGGGGUAGGAGGUGUAUUCCGACAUUGUGGGGUGGGAGGCAAAGACUAUCACUUUAGGCAUUUCAAUAGCCACAGAAUUUUCCAAGGCGCACGUGUCCCUUUUGUCAGAAAAUCUGUAUUUUUUCACGUCCUUGGUCUACCUCCCCUCACCUCCCGCCCCGGUGGGAAGAGCUGGGCGCUCGGCGGUCCCUGGGCCACAUCUCCGAGGGCAGGUCCCCCGCAGCGUGCAGACCCUUCCACCGCCAUAAAGUGUCCAAGUUGCGAGUCUGCUGUGUGCCCCACUCUCUGUCUCCAACAUGGUAGGAUUUGUGCUUUUUUAUGACUUGUCACAGUUUCAGUGGCAUUGCCGCCAGGGGAAGAAUAUAGUCACAAAGGCCUGCAGAUCUGUGUGCACAGCACGUCCCUGAUAAGGGCUGACCACCCAGCGUCUGAGUUAUGUCUCGGAGAGCUCACCUGUGCCCCGGGCGGGCGCGGAGGGGCUGGGUGGUGGCACGGAGUCCCUGGCUUCAGAGGCUGGGCUGUGAGACCUUCGGAGACUCAAGUAGCUCAUACACUCGGGGCCCACUGGGCCUGGGGCAGUCGGCAGAUGUGACUGAGAAUAUUGCCAGGAGGGGGAACAUGUCCCCGAAGCUCUUUCAGACAUUUCCACCUGCCUAUCCGUGUGGAAUGAGAGGGAAGUGAUCAAGUCUGUAGCUCCCAGGCCCUCCUGGCUGUGGCAGGUUUGGCGCAGACGCGAAAGAAAGUGCUGACGGGGCCCUUUGCCAGCAAAGGGUUGCUAAAUAGCAGCCCUGUGUUUAUCUGGCUCCUCUGAUCUCAGGAUUUCAGACAAACACCGAGCAGCAGGUCAGACUGUGCCUUACCUUCCAGAUGGGAAGUUGGAGGCUCAGUCAACAGCAAUAGAGCCGCGAUGUGAUCGAGGUCAAGUGCUGGGAGCGAGGAGGGAGGUCGCAGACGGGUCGGCGAAGUGUGUGGAAGCCGCCUGCGGAUGCUCUCCGUGACAUUCCUGGGCCACGGGGGGUCUGAGUCAGCGAGUCUGGGCGUGGGCCCUGGGUCUGGGCUUUAAACUGGACUUGCAGGUGGUGUGUGCAUCGCACUGUGAGAAACACUGGUCCAGGGAGAGGCAGAGGCCAUGCAUUCUGUCUGAGGCGUGGCCCCUGCGUGACCCAGAAGGACAGCUUCACCCAUGUUAUCCAGGAACGAAAGGCAUAGAAUUUACUCCACAAAGCUCUGUCUUCAGGGGGGAGAGGCUACUGUCAGACGACACACUGGAAUGGCUGAGGCUAGCUUCAUGCUUAUGACCGAGGCAAAGCGCUUCUCCUGCGUGGGAGGCUGUCCCCUGCAGGUCUGUUCUCACACAUUCCCGUGGCUGCUCCCUCCCUCCGGCACCCGGGGCCUGGUCAUGGCUGUAAAUGGCUCCGAACGCAGGUGCAGGGCUGUGCUCACCUCCGCCAGCUGCUGGUGGUGCCAGCUAAGCCCCUGCAUCCAUCCGGCUAGUCUCUGCCUCCAUCUUCCCACGCCACCCCCCCCCCCCCCCCCCCGUCUGUUGCAAGUCUCCGCCUUUUAUUCCUGCAACUGCACGACUACUAUGGCCGUUUAAACAACAUACGUUGUAAUAUGUGAUAUUACAAGUCUCUACUCUCAUUUCUCACAUAUGUCUUCCAACUUGAGAGUCUAGGGUGUGAGUCUCACUUUCGUCAAGGCCCGUUCCUGCCACCAGCAGCCACCACGACCCGGACCUCAUCUGAGACGUCCAGUACGAGUCAGUACAACGAAAGGUGCCCCAAAAUUCACGCAAGAGCAUCCAUCAGAUCUGGGGAACGUGGAAAUGAAUCUGGGAAGAACUGCUAGGGAAGACUCAGAACACUUUGGCAUGCCUUUUUAUUUGGCGUAGAUCUGCAUGUAUGUUUCCGCCUUCUCCCCCUGCCCCCGUGGACAGGCGUAGGGAGGGGGUCAAGAAGCCGGUGCUCACCCCAGUCAAGGAGCUCUGCAACCCCAUCAUCCCCCUGGAUCAAGGACUAAAGGGGUUCAUUCCCGGCACACAUCGAAGUCCAGUCAAAUGGAAACAGGAGUUUGCAGCCAAGAAAUAAGUGUUUAUUGUUGAGGAGAUGGUGCCCACCCAGACUCACAGGUGAGCUCGUGCUCAGAGGCCUGGCUCCCCGACGGCGUCCAGGGGAGGGCUGUACAGAAGGGGAGUCACUCAUCGGGGUGGCUGAAGGAGGUGGGGUCGUGGGCUCUACUGACGGGUGGGGCCAGGGCAGCUGACCACUGCAGCAGGUCCUGAGGUCAGCCAUGGCGUUGUGCUGUCUGGUUUCGUGAGGGGGUGGUCCCUAGGGUCUUUUCGCUCUCAUGGGCCUGGGGCGGACACAACGGAAGUCCAGAUGCCACCUGUAGCUUGACGGAAACUCUGCGUGGCCAACACUCCUGAGGCUUUGUCCUUAAGACAGUGUGAUGCUGACCAGAACCCGAUGUCCGAAGGGCUUGAUGAUUAAGGAAGGGGGUGGAUGGGCAGAAAGGAGGCAGGGUCACAGCAACGAAAUGGCGCUUCUGCGAGGUUACAGUGAUAUUGGCCUCGAGGGACAGACUGGGAAGCUUGCUCUCUCUGUGCUCUGGCGCGAUCCUGAAGAUACACUAUUAGGAACAGCCUCCUGAUCCGGGUUCAGCGAGUUUGUGCAAAAACAGCACCGAAAAGGAGCAACUAGAAAUACUGCUUGGGCGUGGUCUCCUGGCCCGGCAGCCGACCCCUGUCUCCAGAUGUUCACCAAACGAAACAGAUGUGUCUGCACCCACCCAGCUGGCGCAGGAGGGUAAACCCACGGGCUGCCUGCUCGCUUGUCAGAAUUUUGCAGAAUCCUCCCGUGUACGUCCAAGCCAUGCCCCCCACGCUGUCUCUCUCAGGACCACACUCCGAAGGCAGAGGAACCUGAGGGACGACGGCGACCAGGCCUCCCAGGCCUUCGAAUGGCUGCGUUUGCCGCGGUUGGGGGAGUGAGGGAGCGAGGGAGACUCGGACCCGAGGCAGGGGCCUCUGUGCGUGGAGGGCAGGUUGUAUUGUGCAAUGCGGAGUUUCAUUGUUGCUGUAAAACGAAUGUUCCCAGCGUGUCUGGAAGUAAAAAGGGCUGUAAGAUGCAAGGCAAUUAGACUGUGAAUCUCGCUGCCCUGAUCUUCGCAGACGAGGCGGUUUCAUCUGAGAGCUUUUGUCACCAGCAGGUUGAUCACCAGCCGGUUGUGAGGCGGCUGUAGGCACUGGCUCCACGGUGAACGGGGCUCCAGAGUAAUAAAAACCUCUCCCUGCUUUACAGCCGCACCUGCGCCCAUGGAUCCACGGGAGACCAGGCGCUGUGCGGGCGACGAGAAUGGAUGGAGGAGGAAUAAGAGGCCCAAUGACUGGUGACAGCCUCGCCAGUCUCUUCGUCUAGAGCAGUGGUUCUCAACCUUCCUAAUGCGGCGACCCUCUAAUCCAGUUCCUCAUGUUGUGGUGACCCCCAAUAUCAUUGUUACAAACUGAACAUAAUUAAAGCAUAGUGAUUCAUCACAGAAA